rnacentral:misc_RNA from 1 species
UCCGGUUUGUCACCGGCAGUCUCAUUAGAGUGCCCAACUGAAUGUAGCAACUAAUGACAAGGGUUGCGCUCGUUGCGGGACUUAACCCAACAUCUCACGACACGAGCUGACGACGGCCAUGCAGCACCUGUGUUCUAGCUCUCUUUCGAGCACGAAACCAUCUCUGGUAACUCCUAGACAUGUCAAGGGUAGGUAAGGUUUUUCGCGUUGCUUCGAAUUAAACCACAUGCUCCACCGCUUGUGCAGGCCCCCGUCAAUUUCUUUGAGUUUUAAUCUUGCGACCGUACUCCCCAGGCGGAUGACUUAACGCGUUAGCUGCGCCACCGAAGCUCCAUGAGCCCCGACAGCUAGUCAUCAUCGUUUACGGCGUGGACUA